AGUGUCCCACUCCAGAAGUGAGGAAUGGCCACAUUGAACCUAGGCAAUCUCAAUACGUGUACAACAAUGAAAUUGAGAUAACCUGUUGUAAACAGGUUAUAUUUCUAGUGAUCCAAAGAAAGUACAUUUUGAAAUGUACUGCUAAUGGCUGGGAUCCCUCCCCUGACUGUCAUGAAAUUCAGUGUUUCCCUCCAGAAGUGAGGAAUGGCUGCAUUCAACCUAGCCAAUCUCUAUACAGGUACAGCGAUGAAAUUGAGAUAACCUGUUAUAGAGUGCCUUUCUUUAUAAGACACCAAAAAAAUGGUUUCUAAAUGUACUGCUAAUGGUUGGGAUCCCACUCCUUCCUGUUAAGGUUGCAAAUAAUGAAUGAUGGCAGCCCUUUUUUACCAGUGUGCGGAUGUCAGUAAUCACGAAUAAUUUUCUUUAAUAACCCUGCAUAAAACUUCACUGUGUUUCUUCUGGAAAAUAUACGAACUCUGGAUUGUCUGCCAACUAUCAUAAUGGAUCUUGAAGAUAAAAGCCUAUUUUCUAAAAGCUACAUUUUAGUACUUGGUAUUAUUGAUAAUUUUGAUAAAACGAUAAUGCAGUUUUCAACAAAUAUAUAGGCCGUCUUUAAGUAUUAUAAGAUGUGAUACACAUUUUUCAAAACGUACCAGAAGUCAAUAAUGUACACAU